GCGCCCGGCCGGGUCAAGUGUUUUUAAAGGGUAACCACAAAAUAACCAGAAAUGAGUUUCUAUUUUGGGGUGGGGGAGCUAGAUUUUUCUGAGUGGACAUGCCCAUGCCCCGCCCCCGCCCCCAAGCUUGACUUCUGCGAAAACUUCUACAUGGGUGGGGCAAACAUUGCCUACACUGGGGUGCAGAAGACACGGGGAGGCGCAAAAACUUCCUGAGGAGUCAAGGGUUUCCUCUGCACAAACUGCCCCAGUGGCGAAUGACCUUGAAACAUGAAAACCGUCCCUUUCUUGCAAGCCAUUACAAGGCAGUGGGAACACCCUUUCUCCCUUACAAAACUGGUCCGUGGGGAUGCAAAGAGUCCUCAGCGGUGACAGCUGUAACACCUGUUUGAGCGACUCAGUACCGGGCAGGGCGCAGCCACACAACUGAGGGACCAGGGAGGGCAGCGCGGGGCCCGGGCUUCAGCCUGGAACCCUCAUCUCCACAAGCACUGCGGCGGCAGCACCAGGCUUGCAUCUUUGAGACCGGAGCGCCAGUCAGACCCAGGGUGUUCCUUGUGUCCCGCCCCUUCUGGAUUCUCGGGCCGGCCCUGCCCCCUGCAGGCCUUCACCUGCAUCGAUCUAGCGCCGCCCCUGGAGAGUAGCUCCUGGAGGCCCUUCCCUUCCGAGAGUCCUGGGGACUCCACUUUCCCGGGGUUUCCGGCCCUGCCCCUCGGCACCGCCCUGGUCCUAUCGCUCAGCACCGUCCCCUGAGGCCGCGGCGGGCCCCACCUCCUUCCUACAACCACCCGGCUCCUCCGAGGCCGCACCCCUCCAUGCUCCCCAAGACCCGCAGGCUCCCGUCCUCGGCCGCCUCUGGACCCACCUCCUCCCACCGCCGGGCCCCGCCCCUCUCCCGCGCGCGGCUCCCGCCGCGCAGUCUCCAGGCUGGGGACGGCCGGACCCACCCGCGGGGCCUAGGAGCGGUCCUUCUGCGCGACCUCGGCCCAGAAGGACACGGCCAGGAGGCAGCCCUCUGUAAGCUGCGAAGAGAGCCCUUUCCGGGAACCAGAUCAGCCAGCAUCUUGACUGAGGACUUCCCAGCCUCCCGAACUUUUCUUCCCCCAUGAUGCAACCCACUGAACACACAGGAAACAUCUGGCUUCGUGUGAGCUGGGGCAUGAGGAAUCGAUACAAGGUAUAGCUCUGGCUGCUGAUUUUUGUGGUAAUCAGUGAUCCAU